rnacentral:rRNA from 1 species
UAGGGAAUCUUCGGCAAUGGACGAAAGUCUGACCGAGCAACGCCGCGUGAGUGAAGAAGGUUUUCGGAUCGUAAAACUCUGUUGUUAGAGAAGAACAAGGACGUUAGUAACUGAACGUCCCCUGACGGUAUCUAACCAGAAAGCCACGGCUAACUACGUGCCAGCAGCCGCGGUAAUACGUAGGUGGCAAGCGUUGUCCGGAUUUAUUGGGCGUAAAGCGAGCGCAGGCGGUUUCUUAAGUCUGAUGCGAAAGCCCCCGGCUCAACCGGGGAGGGUCAUUGGAAACUGGGAGACUUGAGUGCAGAAGAGGAGAGUGGAUUUCCAUGUGUAGCGGUGAAAUGCGUAGAUAUAUGGAGGAACACCAGUGGCGAAGGCGGCUCUCUGGUCUGUAACUGACGCUGAGGCUCGAAAGCGUGGGGAGCAAACAGG